rnacentral:rRNA from 1 species
CAGAGGAUGCUUUUGGCGCGGUGCCUUCCGAGUUCCCUGGAACGGGACGCCAUAGAGGGUGAGAGCCCCGUCUGGUCGGACGCCUAGCCUAUGUAAAGCUCCUUCGACGAGUCGAGUAGUUUGGGAAUGCUGCUCUAAAUGGGAGGUAUAUGUCUUCUAAAGCUAAAUAUUGGCCAGAGACCGAUAGCGCACAAGUAGAGUGAUCGAAAGAUGAAAAGCACUUUGAAAAGAGGGUUAAAUAGUACGUGAAAUUGUUGAAAGGGAAGCGCUUAUGACCAGACUUGGGCCCGGUGGAUCAUCCAGCGUUCUCGCUGGUGCACUCCGCCGGGUUCAGGCCAGCAUCAGUUCGCCGCGGGGGAAAAAGGCUUCGGGAACGUGGCUCCUACGGGAGUGUUAUAGCCCGUUGCAUAAUACCCUGGGGCGGACUGAGGUUCGCGCUCCGCAAGGAUGCUGGCGUAAUGGUCAUCAGCGACCCGUCUUGAAACACGGACCAAGGAGUCGUCUUCGUAUGCGAGUGUUCGGGUGUAAAACCCCUACGCGUAAUGAAAGUGAACGCAGGUGAGAGCUUCGGCGCAUCAUCGACCGAUCCUGAUGUUCUCGGAUGGAUUUGAGUAAGAGCAUACGGGGCCGGACCCGAAAGAAGGUGAACUAUGCCUGUAUAGGGUGAAGCCAGAGGAAACUCUGG